rnacentral:rRNA from 1 species
GAACCAGUACCGUGAGGGAAAGGCGAAAAGAACCCCGGCGAGGGGAGUGAAAAAGAACCUGAAACCGUGUACGUACAAGCAGUGGGAGCCCCACCACUAAGCCAGUGGUGAACUCCACAUACGCAUCCUUUGCUGAAGGCAAUGGUUAACGGAGCGAAAGCGACGUUCAACCGCAAAACAAGCAGAGGGGGCUUAGUGGUGGGGUGACUGCGUACCUUUUGUAUAAUGGGUCAGCGACUUAUAUUCUGUAGCAAGGUUAACCGUAUAGGGGAGCCGGAGGGAAACCGAGUCUUAAUUGGGCGUUAAGUUGCAGGGUAUAGACCCGAAACCCGGUGAUCUAGCCAUGGGCAGGUUGAAGGUUGGGUAACACUAACUGGAGGACCGAACCGACUAAUGUUGAAAAAUUAGCGGAUGACCUGUGGCUGGGGGUGAAAGGCCAAUCAAACCGGGAGAUAGCUGGUUCUCCCCGAAAGCUAUUUAGGUAGCGCCUCGUGAAUUCAUCUCCGGGGGUAGAGCACUGUUUCGGCUAGGGGGCCAUCCCGGCUUACCAACCCGAUGCAAACUGCGAAUACCGGAGAAUGUUAUCACGGGAGACACACGGCGGGUGCUAACGUCCGUCGUGAAGAGGGAAACAACCCAGACCGCCAGCUAAGGUCCCAAAGUCAUGGUUAAGUGGGAAACGAUGUGGGAAGGCCCAGACAGCCAGGAUGUUGGCUUAGAAGCAGCCAUCAUUUAAAGAAAGCGUAAUAGCUCACUGGUCGAGUCGGCCUGCGCGGAAGAUGUAACGGGGCUAAACCAUGCACCGAAGCUGCGGCAGCGACACUCAGGUGUUGUUGGGUAGGGGAGCGUUCU